GACCGCCGACGAGCUCUUCUUCGACGGCAAGAUCCUCCCCAUCCAAAUCAGUAACCACCUCGCUCCACCCUCGCCGCCUUCUCCAGCUCUACCACCGUCUCAAACAUCCGCCGAAUCGAAAAAGAACUUGGCUCUCUGCCAGUCUACCCGCUGGCUCUCUUGUCCGGUAAGUCACCAACGCAGGCCGUAGAUUGAGAAUCUGAGAUUGUAUUUUCAGUUUGAGCAUAGGUUGAAUUGUUGAUUUAUUGGAUAUGUUUGAGAAUUUGAAUUGAUAAUCUAAGACUGUAGUUUUACUUUUGUGUUCAAUUAUUUCGAUGAUAAUUUUAAGGUUGUACUGGAGCAAGAUAUAGUCUGGACAUUAUUAUUAAUGAAAGUUGA
rnacentral:lncRNA from 1 species